UGGCUCAGGAUGAACGCUAGCGACAGGCCUAACACAUGCAAGUCGAGGGGCAUCGGGGCGAGGAGCAAUCCUUGCCGCCGGCGACCGGCGCACGGGUGAGUAACGCGUAUGCGACCUGCCCGUUGCAGGGGGAUAAUCGGGAGAAAUCCCGUCUAAUACCGCGUAAUGCCGCGGGGCUGCAUGACCCUGCGGCCAAAGGGUGCGAUUCCGGCAACGGAUGGGCAUGCGUGACAUUAGCUAGUUGGCGGGGCAACGGCCCACCAAGGCGACGAUGUCUAGGGGUUCUGAGAGGAAGGUCCCCCACACUGGUACCGAGACACGGACCAGACUCCUACGGGAGGCAGCAGUGAGGAAUAUUGGUCAAUGGGCGCGAGCCUGAACCAGCCAAGUCGCGUGAGGGAUGACGGCCCUACGGGUUGUAAACCUCUUUUGUCGGGGAGCAAAUUCCGCCACGUGUGGCGGAGUCGAGAGUACCCGAAGAAAAAGCAUCGGCUAACUCCGUGCCAGCAGCCGCGGUAAUACGGAGGAUGCGAGCGUUAUCCGGAUUUAUUGGGUUUAAAGGGUGCGUAGGCGGACUGUCAAGUCAGCGGUAAAAUACGGGGGCUCAACCUCCGCCCGCCGUUGAAACUGACGGUCUUGAGUGGGCGAGAAGUAUGCGGAAUGCGUGGUGUAGCGGUGAAAUGCAUAGAUAUCACGCAGAACUCCGAUUGCGAAGGCAGCAUACCGGCGCCCGACUGACGCUGAAGCACGAAAGCGUGGGUAUCGAACAGGAUUAGAUACCCUGGUAGUCCACGCAGUAAACGAUGAAUACUAGCUGUCCGGGGCGAAUGAGCCCUGGGUGGCACAGCGAAAGCGUUAAGUAUUCCACCUGGGGAGUACGCCGGCAACGGUGAAACUCAAAGGAAUUGACGGGGGCCUGCACAAGCGGAGGAACAUGUGGUUUAAUUCGAUGAUACGCGAGGAACCUUACCCGGGCUCAAACGACACAGGAACGUACCUGAAAGGGUUCGGCUCUACGGAGCCUGUGUCGAGGUGCUGCAUGGUUGUCGUCAGCUCGUGCCGUGAGGUGUCGGCUUAAGUGCCAUAACGAGCGCAACCCCCAUCGACAGUUGCUAACAGGUCAGGCUGAGGACUCCGUCGAGACUGCCGGCGCAAGCUGCGAGGAAGGCGGGGAUGACGUCAAAUCAGCACGGCCCUUACGUCCGGGGCGACACACGUGUUACAAUGGCAGGUACAGCGGGAAGCCACCUGGCGACAGGGAGCGGAACCCGAAAGCCUGUCUCAGUUCGGAUUGGAGUCUGCAACCCGACUCCAUGAAGCUGGAUUCGCUAGUAAUCGCGCAUCAGCCACGGCGCGGUGAAUACGUUCCCGGGCCUUGUACACACCGCCCGUCAAGCCAUGGAAGCCGGGGGUGCCUGAAGUGCGCUGCCGCGAGGAGCGCCCUAGGGUAAAACCGGUGACUGGGGCUAAGUCGUAACAAGGUA
rnacentral:rRNA from 1 species